UUGGGAAAUUUUGGAGGUGAAAAUUAGAGAAAAUGGAAUAGAAGAUAGGAUACUUACUGGAUCAAUGAAGCUCAGAUAGUUUCUUAUAAGUUUCUGUCUUUUCUUACAAUUCCUAUUCUUACAAGUUUCUGUCUUCUCAUGUGUUUGCUAUAUUUUGGAACUUCAUUGUCCAUGAGGUAGAUUGAUUAAGCCACUUGAUUAGGAAUUUGUGACUGUUACUUAAUAUCUCUUAGUUUUAGAAAUUUGCUUCUAGCCGCGUUGCGGGGACACUUUUGCAUGCAACCAAAAUUUGAUUUGUACGUAGGGUGCCACGACUAAUAUAUUAGUACUAUUUUCUAACGACAUACACCAAAUUCUUACGAAACUUUUCGAGUGCCGGUGACCCCUCUUUUUAUAAGUGUGAACUACUAUUUUUGAUAUGGUAUGCCUACAUGGAAUUGUUAUAUCCAAGUCAAUCAUCUCAUAUUACUCCUGCAAUCUUUAAAUUUACUGGUUUCCAUGGCUAGAAAUUGUGAGAUGGUCACAUUUGUUUUCUGCUUACCUUAUGCAUCUAGAUAUUCUGAUGUUUUUGAACUUAAAAUUUCCUUGCCAUUUGUUUACCCAAUUAUCUUAAGGCUGUUGCUAGAUUUUCCUAUAUGCAUGACAUUGAGUUAUUUAAGAUGCUAUUUGGUUCUUCAUUUUCUUUUACUUUAUGUUUGGUAAUUUGAUAGUGGUGUGUCCAUGAACAAAUAUGCUGACUUAUACAGGCGAGAUGUAGGCCUCUGUGUUAAUCAGGUAAAUCGUGUGCUACUUCAUUAUGUUAAACACUGACUUUUGACUAGAAAUGAAAAUUUAAGAGAUAAACUUUGAAUUAAUCUCGUAAACUAUGUGCUACAUCAUGGUCCUGUGCUAAAUAGCUUAUUCAGUAAAUGACACUUUGCUGCUAGAUCUUAGAAAUGUCGUUAUCCUGAUAUUAAUCCAUUUGCUAAGUAUGGAGUUGGGUUAUUCAGAGAGCAUGUGACUUCAACCUAAUGACUAAUUCUCUAUGGUAUUCAUUUACUUGCUAAACCUAGUACUGUUGCCUGCUAUUUAUGAUCGUUAUCUUCGUUUGGUUUAGCAUUCAUGAACUAUGUAUGACAUUUGUUUUAUUUUAUCAUUUCAGGUCAUACGCUAUGAUGUUUAGAGAUUUAGCAAUAUGGAAGACUUCAUUACGAUCAAGAGUUAGAGAAAUGUUAAUAGGCUAACUACUACUACUACUUUGUAUUAUGGAUAUUUGUUGACACUAGCUUUUGGAUUCAAAUAGUGUAUAUUUCUUUUUCUGUGUUGACUCAUUGGCUUCAAACGAUAACCAAUUUGUAUAGUAGCUUUUUGUUUAUUAUGCUUUUGGUAAAAUAUAUUAUGUUUUUUC
rnacentral:lncRNA from 1 species